UCGAGACCGAAACACAUCGAGCGAUUCGGAGAACUCGUGAAGCGAGCGGCGGCGGUUGCCGCCGCGGGACGACCGUCCCGGCCGUCGCCUCGUCCCCUCCUGGGAGGGGCGCGGGGGGCACGGCCGGGGACGGAUGAAACACAAACCGGCGCAGCUCCGCGCCAAGGGAAAAUCGAAAGGCACGGGCCCCGCGUCGGGCUCGGUGGCGUGGAGCGCCGUCGCGCUCCAUGCGGAUGGACACGACUCUCGGCAAUGGAUAUCUCGGCUCUCGCAUCGAUGAAGAGCGCAGCGAAAUGCGAUACGUGGUGCGAAUUGCAGAAUCCCGCGAACCAUCGAGUCUUUGAACGCAAGUUGCGCCCGAGGCCAGCCGGCCGAGGGCACGUCCGCCUGGGCGUCAAGCAUCGCGUCGCUCCGUGCCAACUCCGUCGCCCCGAUGGGUGCGUGUCGGCCGAGGCGCGGACGCGCAGGGUGGCCCGUCGUGCCCUCCGGCGCGGCGGGCUGAAGAGUCGGUCGUCGUCUCGCUGGCUGCGGGCAACGAGGGGUGGGUGAAAGCUGUGAGCACAGCCCGCGUUGUCUCGCGCGGAGCCUGAGAGAACGACGGUGCCCCCGAGGCGAUCCCGACCCACGCGCCGAUCUGCAUGCGGCGGCUUGGAAU
rnacentral:rRNA from 1 species